CUGGAAUUGUCUGGCCAGUACGUAGAUUAAUCACUCUGUAGUGCCAGUUGGAAGACACAGAUGAAGGAUUAUCCAUUUGGAGCUUCAACAACUUUCAUAUCUCCCUACAAGAACUACAAAAAAAGGCUUCAACUGAAGACUGACUAUCCACGAGACCUUCUCUAUCAUGCUUCAUCAUUGGGUACCUGCCUCCCUUCUCAUCUCCUUUAUUCAUUUUAAUGCCUGAAAUGGUGAGUUAUGACCUGCCAUGGCCAUUGCAGCAGCAGCAACAGCAGUAGCAAAAGCUAGCCACAAGUUAAUCCUAUUGUGAUUUGUUUU